rnacentral:rRNA from 1 species
CUCGUAGGCGGCCAACUAAGUCGGAUGUGAAAUCCCCAGGCUUAACCUGGGAACUGCAUCCGAUACUGGAUGGCUUGAAUCCGGGAGAGGGAUGCAGAAUUCCAGGUGUAGCGGUGAAAUGCGUAGAUAUCUGGAGGAAUACCGGUGGCGAAGGCGGCAUCCUGGACCGGCAUUGACGCUGAUGCGCGAAAGCUAGGUAGCAAACA